CAUGCCAUAGCCAAUCUUUUGGUUGUUGGUUUCACUAGUCGACUAAAAAGAUGAUGGGAUUUGCACUCACUACAACUCUACAAGAAGAAAUUUCAAAAGUUGUAAAAAAAAAGGAUGAUCAAGGGGAAAAUAUCUUAGAUGAACAAGGAAGAGAAACUCAAUAUGUGGUUACAACUUUGAUUUUCUCAAUCUUUAAACAUUUCAUAGGAGAUCCUUCUCAUCUCAAAAAUAGAAAUUUGAAAUUACUAUCAAAUUUAAAAUACAAAAAGUCAAUAAAUUUCAAAUGGUAUAAAGAUGUCUUCAUGACUUGUGUCAUACAAAGAUAUAAUAAUUAACACCCAUUUUGAAAAGAAAAUUUUCUAGCAGGACUUACUAUCCUAUAUUAGAAGAGAAAGUUAGGAACCAAAUUAGGGAAGAUUACAAAGGCAUCAUUUCUUAUGAAAAACCUAUAUAUGGUGAAUUAAUUAGUUUUAUAAAAAAAGAAGGAUUAAAAAUUGGUAAGAUCUAAAAUUACAAAAGCAAGAUAUCAAUGCUAAAAAGGGUCGAGAUCUUUUUGCUGCCAAUUUGACAUAAAAAGUGAUAAUUCUCCCUUGAGAACAUGAUGUCGUGUAAAACCAAAAAAAUAAUAAAAAGAACACCCAUUGAAUAUUAUAAUAAACAAAAAUAUAAAAAAGAAAAGGAAGAACAAAAAUCAGAAAACAAAGUGGAUAAAACAAUAAAAUAUUAUAGAUGUGGAAAACCAAAACACAUCUCAAAAUAUUGUAAGAUCAAGGGUGCGUUUGUUUGCAAGGAUUUGAUUUUCCGGAAAAUAUUUUUCUGAUUAUAUGGUGUUUGGAAGCUUAAAAACAUUUUACAUUUGAAAAAUAUUUUCCAAACACAGGUAAAAUGACCUGCAAUUUGGGGAAAAUGUUUUACCCUUUUGAAUUCGGUAAGACAUUUUUUGGAAAAUGACGCCUUCUUCUCCCCUUUCCCCUUCCCCUUCCCCUUGGGUUGCAAAUUAGUGCCAUUGCAAGGUACCCUACCCCCCGCCCUAAAUUCCUCAAGAGCUACGCGAUUUCGAAGAACACGACGAGAAAGUUUGGUCAAUGACCUUUUCCGGUUCCUCCUUCAUCCAAAUUAAAUGAGAAAUUUCAACAAUGAAACUCAUCAUACACCCAAAUGUCAUCCGUUUGUAUGAGGUGAUGGCUAACGAGACGAAAAUAUACAUUGUUCUAAAACUUGUGACUGGUGGUUAACUUUUUGACAAAAUUGUAAGAAAUUUGUGUU